UCUCGAAAAGGCACUCUGUCACGUGUACACAGGAAAGGGCCCUGACAAGAGGAUGGGACUGCAGUUGUGGCUGCCAGGGCCCCGGCCAGGGUGAAAACAAGGAACAUUCCAGAGAAGAUCACAAGGAUGCGAAUAAAAUCGGAGCUGCACAGGGAUCUUUGGGCUGUAAUAGGAGGGGACACACAGGGGUUGGAGUGCAGUGGCACGAUCUCGGCUCAGUGCAACCUCCGCCUCCUGAGUUCAAGUGAUUCUCCUGCCUCAGCCUCCCUAGUAGCUGGGAUUACAGGACAAGGAGAGGGACAAAUUCCUUCUUGGCAUCCUUAUGGCCCUGUGACCUGCUAAUGAAUGCUGACUCUGAGUUGCUACUAGAAUUUGGUUUCCUUGUGGCUUCCCAGGAAUUGUGAGCCAUGUUGGAUAAGGACCUGCAAGGGAAGAAUGAGGAAGCCUGGGACAGUGCAGGAGGGGAGAGCACUGGUGGUAGAGAGGAGUGAUGACAAGGGUCUCCGCCAAAAGGGAAAUGGAGGGGUUAAAGAAGCUGCUGGGGAGGGUUAAAAACAAUGUGUUCUCACUCGUAGGUGGGAAUUGAACAAUGAGAACACUUGGACACAGGAAGGGGAACAUCACACACUGGGGCCUGUCGUGGGGUGUGGGGAGGGAGGAGGGAUAGCAUUAGGAGAUAUACCUAAUGUAAAUGAUGAGUUAAUGGGUGCAGCACACCAACAUGGCACAUGUAUACCUAUGUAACAAACCUGCACAUUGUGUACAUGUACCCUAGAACUUAAAGUAUAAUUAAAAAACAAAACAAAACAAAACAAAAACAAUGAGGUGCUAUUGUUUUAGUGGUGAGUAUCCGGAGACCUGGGAGUUCUAUUUACCAGGUAUAACCUGGGCUCAAAAUUCCAGGCUGACUUCAGGCAUGUCCUCAUCUCAUAGAUGCCAGCACUAAGGCCCAGAGAGGUCUCACUCUGCUCACUCUGUCUCCCAAGCUGGAGUGCAGUGGUACAGUCACGGCUCACUGCAGCCUCCACUUCCUGGACUCAAGUGAUCUUCUCACUUCAGCCUUCUGAGUAGCUGGGACUACAGGUAGACCCAGUGUAAUCACAAGCAUCCUUGUAAGUGGCAAAGAGGCAGAGGAGACAGCGCCAGAGAGGCAGCUGCAUGAGAAGGAUCAAGAUGUUGCUGACUUUGAAGUUGGAAGAAGAAGGCCAUGAGCCUCAGUAUGUGGGCGGCUUCUAGAAGCUGGAAGGGGCAAGGAGAUGGAUUUGACCCUUCAGCCUCCAGGGGCAGCUGUACCUGCCAUCACUGAUUGUAGCCUGGUGAGGCCUGUUUUAGACUUCUGACCUGUAGAGCUGUAACAUAAUACAUUUGGGUUGUUUUCAACCACUAAGUUUGUGGUAAUUUGUUGUAGCAGCUGUAGAAAAUGAAUACAUAUGAAUCCUCUGGCAUUUGUUUGAGAUUUGCUCUAUGGCCUAGUAUGUGGUUGUAAAUGUUCCAUCUGUGCCUGAAAAAAUGUAUAUUUCUAAUUCAGUAGUCUCUGCUUUUUUUUUUUAUUUUGUACCCCAUCAAUAAAAUGAUUUUCAGCAUGUAUCCCCAAAUAAACAAUAUUUUAUUUAUUGAUUGAUUGAUAAACAGACAUGUUUAAUGAUAGCUUGCUUUUCACAGAGGUGACUUCGGAGACUUCUAAUCUAUAAUCCAGGAGUAUAUAACCAUG
rnacentral:lncRNA from 10 species